GAGCACUGUGGGUGUCGUUUGGAUGCUGAGCAGAGAUAGUACCAGGUCUGGCAAAGGCUUAGCUUCGACGGUGGUGGUGGCUGUGUAGAGAGUUGACACUUGAACUCUACAGUAGAUCAAGCUUUCAUGGUUGUGCUGAAGAACCAGAAACUUAUAAGGAAUGAGAGAAUUCAAAUACUUUAUUAAGUAUUCUUCCAUGUGAGAAACUUCAUAAAGUAACACUUCAGGUCCUUUAAUAGUUUGAACUGCUGUCGUUGGCAAGGAACACAGAACCUGAUGUAAAGAAAGUAAAACAAAUCCAGUAUCUCUAUGUGCUCUGUGCUACAUACAGAAUCAAGAUAAAAUCUCAUGGAACAAAAGUUAGAAAUUAAUUGAUAACAUCUUCCAGGAGACCUACGGCCAUCCUACUGAUAUGAACCAGAUCAUACCUGCCCUGAUGGGAUGCCAGAGAAAGACUGCUGCAAGGUAUUCGCCACUCACAGACCUCUCCAUUUAUCUCACUGAUGCAAAGGACCCUGAGGUAGGGCUCCUCUGGAAACAGAACAGAGGGAAGAAGAUACCUUCCCUAAAGCCCAGAUGUUCCAGAAACCUGCCCCUCAUUCACAAAGUCACCCCAAACAUGCCCUAGAGUUUGGAGUUUUGAAGAAGCGGGAAGAAGGCCUGAGUAAGGGCCUGGGAACCAAGUUAGAUCCUGCUUCAGCAUCAGCACAUGCCAGCGAUGGUGCACACAGGUGGA
rnacentral:lncRNA from 1 species